CCUACGGGUGGCUGCAGUGGGGAAUAUUGCACAAUGGGGGAAACCCUGAUGCAGCGACGCCGCGUGAGUGAAGAAGUAUCUCGGUACGUAAAGCUCUAUCAGCAGGGAAGAAAAUGACGGUACCUGACUAAGAAGCACCGGCUAACGCCGUGCCAGCAGCCGCGGUAAUACGGAGGGGGCAAGCGUUAUCCGGAUUUACUGGGUGGAAAGGGAGCGUAGACGGCAGGACAAGUCUGGCGUGAAAUCCCGGGGCUUAACCCCGGAACUGCUUUGGAAACUGGGCGGCUGGAGUGCAGGAGGGGUAAGCGGAAUUCCUAGUGUAGCGGUGAAAUGCGUAGAUAUUAGGAGGAACACCGGUGGCGCGGGCGGCUUACUGGACUGUAACUGACGUUGAGGCUCGAACGCGUGGGGAGCAAACAGGAUUAGAUACCCCUGUAGUC
rnacentral:rRNA from 1 species